AGCUGAAAGCUGCAUCAGGGGCUGGAUAAGAACAGGAUGGCUUUUACAGAUUACAGGUGUUUGAAUCGUGGUGUAGUGGUCCAGUGCAGCCUACGUCUCCUAGCAGUUCCGACCUGGCCAUCAGAAUUUCAGGUUUGGAUGUGGAAAGGGUUGUCUCGACUUCAAGGCCACAGAAGGGCUCUAGGCGGUAUAGCAAUUUGAAGGAGUCCUCUUUUCUAUUUGCAGAAGAGCUGGCAAGAACUUUGAAAACGACACAUUGGCAGGGCUGGAGGACCAGGAAGUUUUCCACAAGCUGAAAGCUGCGUCAGGGGCUGGAUAAGAGCUGGAUGACUUGUAUGGAUUUCUACAGAUCAGCUGAAUGCGUGCAGAUGCCCAUGUGAGGGGACAUUGGAGUAGUUCUUCUGAAUUUG